UGGGUGGUCUAAGUAGAGCAGCGGAGGAACCUCAAGCUCAUGCAAAAGGAGAGAUGCGAGGAAGGGGUCCGCCUUUUGAGAACAAUAGCGAUACAGUUUAAACUUAGCAACUCUCUAGACCAGAAGGUGCUAGAUGCCCUGCAUCAUGGAGGUGACAGAGUCAACCUCAGGGGAAGCUCACUGGAGAUGCAGCACACUGGAGACCUCCAGAAUCACUAGGGUCUUAGGGCUUCUCAGAGAGGACUUACACUGGACCAACCUCACUGUAUUUCAGCAAAAAUAAGGAACUCCUAUAGAGUUUGAAAGACAGCAGAGCUUUCAACAUUUGGCUUGGCUUACUCAGUAUCAUGAGCUCUGAUACUCUGGUUUCUGAUGGUCCUGAUGGCUCUCCACUGGAUUUUCUACAAUGGUUAAAGGUCUUUCAUGCACUGGGGAGCUCAAGCCCAGACACUGUUGAAUAUGUGCUCAGAAGUGCCAAAUACACAGGAAGAAUCACAUCCCUUGACCUGCUGGCUGCAAUUCUGCUAUUAAAACUCAGUAAGCAGUUGGCCU